AUUGAACGCUGGCGGCAUGCCUUACACAUGCAAGUCGAACGGCAGCGGACCUUCGGGUGCCGGCGAGUGGCGAACGGGUGAGUAAAGUAUCGGAACGUACCUUUCAGUGGGGGAUAACGUAGCGAAAGUUACGCUAAUACCGCAUAUUCUGUGAGCAGGAAAGCAGGGGAUCGCAAGACCUUGCGCUGAUUGAGCGGCCGAUAUCAGAUUAGCUAGUUGGUGGGGUAAAGGCCUACCAAGGCGACGAUCUGUAGCGGGUCUGAGAGGAUGAUCCGCCACACUGGGGCUGGGACACGGCCCAGACUCCUACGGGAGCCAGCAGUGGGGAAUUUUGGACAAUGGGCGCAAGCCUGAUCCAGCCAUGCCGCGUGAGUGAAGAAGGCCUUCGGGUUGUAAAGCUCUUUCGGCCGGGAAGAAAUCGCAUGGGCUAAUACCCUGUGUGGAUGACGGUACCGGAAUAAGAAGCACCGGCUAACUACGUGCCAGCCGCCGCGGUAACAC
rnacentral:rRNA from 1 species